rnacentral:rRNA from 1 species
AUGGAAAACGAGAAGGGGUCCUCCUUGGCCGUGUACAGUUACGGCGACCUCCGUGCCGCCACGAAGAACUUCUCAGAGCGGCUGGGCGGCGGCAGCUUCGGCUCGGUGUACCGCGGUGUCCUGAAGCGGCAUAAAGGAGACAACGCAAUCCAGGUCCAUGUGGCAGUGAAGAAGCUGGAAAGUCUUGGUGGGAGGCAGGGCGACAAGCAGUUCUGGGCCGAGGUGAGCACGUUGGGACUCAUCCAGCACGUGAACCUUGUCCGUCUCCUCGGGUUCUGCUCAUCCGGCGUCGAGAAGAUGCUCGUUUACGAGUACAUGCCCAGAGGCUCCCUCGACCGCUACCUCUUCGGCAGCGGCGUGAGCCCGAGCUAG